UAGAGUCUAAAACUCUCAAACCCGUGUUAAUUCUACCUUUUUUGUUGCUUCGGCGGGCAGUCCCAGGGCGGGGCCUUGCCUGUAUUUUGCAGGUGUCCGCCGAAAGCACCCUAAAAUUCGUUUUUUAUGGCUGUCUGAGUACAAAAAAAAAUAAGUCA
rnacentral:misc_RNA from 1 species